rnacentral:rRNA from 1 species
AGAGGCGAUGAAGGGCGUGCUAAUCUGCGAUAAGCGCCGGUAAGGUGAUAUGAACCGUUAUAACCGGCGAUACCCGAAUGGGGAAACCCAGUGUGAUUCGUCACACUAUCAUUAACUGAAUCCAUAGGUUAAUGAGGCGAACCGGGGGAACUGAAACAUCUAAGUACCCCGAGGAAAAGAAAUCAACCGAGAUUCCCCCAGUAGCGGCGAGCGAACGGGGAGGAGCCCAGAGCCUGAAUCAGCAUGUGUGUUAGUGGAAGCGUCUGGAAAGGCGCGCGAUACAGGGUGACAGCCCCGUACACAAAAGCGCAUGUGCUGUGAGCUCGAUGAGUAGGGCGGGACACGUGGUAUCCUGUCUGAAUAUGGGGGGACCAUCCUCCAAGGCUAAAUACUCCUGACUGACCGAUAGUGAACCAGUACCGUGAGGGAAAGGCGAAAAGAACCCCGGCGAGGGGAGUGAAAAAGAACCUGAAACCGUGUACGUACAAGCAGUGGGAGCACAGGUUUACCUGUGUGACUGCGUACCUUUUGUAUAAUGGGUCAGCGACUUAUAUUCUGUAGCAAGGUUAACCG